GGUUUUAUUUGGAUUGAAGAGAGCUCCCCGAAGUCGUAGGGCCGAUUUACUUCUAAUGGAAUU
rnacentral:pre_miRNA from 1 species